AGAAAUACAAAUUUGUCAAAUGUUUAAUUUAGGUUUCCACUCCAAUGGUAUAAAAACUGAUAAAGUCUCCAGCGAGAGUCUCCUUUCCUGAUAGUCCUGUUUUUUGAUUGGAUUAGCUAUAAGGGAGACUUCCACCUUUUGUCUUUAAUGGCUCUGGGAUGGCUCUUUGGAACCAGAGUUCCUGCCACCAUCAGCAUUUGAAAAGUUAUGCUGAUUCAAUCGGAUUGGUAAUGGCCUCAGAGUAGGGUGUGUUCCUAAUUCAUUUGCAUGCUUUGUUUCAGUUUCUCCCCCCCCUCAAUGUAAACUCCUCCCCUCUAAAUGUAUAAAUUGUAAGGGAAGGUUUUCCCUUAGUUAGACUAUCUUAGACUAUCUUAGACUAUCUUUGAGAUGACUACAGCUACGCAAUAAAGAACUUCUGCGUGUAAGAUACCUCAAGAGUCUCCUGGUCUGUUGCGUGGAAGAAAGAAAAACUUCACUACAGAUGGUGCCGUGACCCGGAUAGAGAAAUCUUACCUGAAUCCAAAACUUCAAGCAACAAAAGAUUUCAACAGAGAAAUCUUACCUGAGUUCCAGAACAAGAUCAACAAAGUGAACUGAGUUCCAGAACAAGAACAAAAAGAACUUUUCUGACUGAGUUCCAGACUGAAUCUUUUCAUACAAGCAACGAUUCGAUACCACUUGAUGGCUGUCCUGAGACCCAUACACACCGACCCUUCACCUGUGUAGGAAGACACCACUUCCAGAAAAACAACGAGACCCACUGCCGGGCCAACUAGCAUCAAAGAAAA